GGCGGCAGCAAGCUCUCUGCAACUCUCCCAUGGUCACCCAAUGAAGCUAAGCAGCGCUGCGCUCGGUCAGUACUUGGAUAGCAGACCACAUGGGAAUACUAGGUUGCUACCGGAG
ensembl:rRNA 5S_rRNA 5S ribosomal RNA